UACGGCCAUAUUAUGUUGAAAUACAGGUUUUCGUAUGAUGACCGAAGUUAAGCAAUGUCGAGCCUGAUCAGUAACUAGGUGGGUGACCGCUUGGGAAUACCAGAUACUGUAA